AUUGAACGCUGGCGGCAGGCCUAACACAUGCAAGUCGAGCGGCAGCACGGGUACUUGUACCUGGUGGCGAGCGGCGGACGGGUGAGUAAUGCCUAGGAAUCUGCCUGGUAGUGGGGGAUAACGUCCGGAAACGGGCGCUAAUACCGCAUACGUCCUACGGGAGAGAGUGGGGGAUCUUCGGACCUCACGCUAUUUGAUGAGCCGAGGUCGGAGUAGCUAGUUGGUGAGGUAAUGGCUCACCAAGGCGACGAUCCGUAACUGGUCUGAGAGGAUGAUCAGUCACACUGGAACUGAGACACGGUCCAGACUCCUACGGGAGGCAGCAGUGGGGAAUAUUGGACAAUGGGCGAAAGCCUGAUCCAGCCAUGCCGCGUGUGUGAAGAAGGUCUUCGGAUUGUAAAGCACUUUAAGUUGGGAGGAAGGGCAGUUACCUAAUACGUGAUUGUUUUGACGUUACCGACAGAAUAAGCACCGGCUAACUCUGUGCCAGCAGCCGCAGUAA
rnacentral:rRNA from 1 species